ACCCUGCUGGAAACCACUUCCCUGCCUUCCAUGAGAAAGCUCAAACAGAACUAACCCAAGGAGUCAGCUGACUCAGCAAGAGAAAAACCUGGGUUUUGAUAGUUCCCAAUUCUUUUACAGCUACCUAGGGCCUGAUUUUCAGAGGUGUUGAGCACCCACAACUCCAGUUGAGGUCCACGUGAGAUACGGGUGCUCUGAAAAAUCAGCCUGAGGGAUCACAAGUUGGACACCCGCUAACUGAGGGACUAGUACCAGACGUGCUCGUGGUACAGCACCGGAGUGUAGAUUCUUAGAGAGCCCAGCAUUGCCCUUGAAUACUGGAGGGAACAGAACGCCUUGUCCAUUCAGCUGCUGAAGAGCUCCAUGUCCUCAAAGGCUUUUAAAUGCUACAAACAAGUUCAUCUCUAACUCCAGCCAUUUGUGAGAUCUCAGCUACCGAAGACCUGGCAGAAAUGAAGUGGAGGAAGAAGAAAACCAAACCCAGGAGGGUAAUGAAGUGUGUGUGCACACGCGAGUUUGUACGACUGCUGAAUAACAACUGCUUGACAUCCUUGGAAACUGAAGUCCCCUCUCGGUAGAGCACAAGCAGUGCAAUCUCCAUUCACAUUGUCUAGCUCAGGGGCAGGCAAACUUUUUGGCCUGAGGGCCGCAUCGGGUUUCAGAAAUUGUAUGGCGGGCUGGUUAGGGGAGGAGGGCGUGGCCCGGC